CUCGGGGCCCGGCCGGCUCCGGGCGCCCUCCCUGAGCCCCACCGGCUCCCACCGGCUCCCCUUCCUGCGGACGCCCCUCAGAAAGCCGCAUUCUACGGACUCCUGUCAUCGCGCCCAUGCCGGUGGGCUCAGCUCGGGGUCCCACACUGGGUGGUGACGGGACUUACGGAGAGAGACAAGGAUUUAUGAGGAAACCGGGGACGUGAGCCUGGAGGAAAACCACGUUGGGCACAUCCUGAGAGGUCACAUGCACCUUCACCCAGGUUGCUGCACCACAAUGACCAUGGGAAAAACUGAAAGCCAGUUUGGUUUUUCCCUCCAUCCUUCCCAUCUUGGUGGCCUUUCUCCUGAAUUCCUCAGUGUGUUCAAGUGCAUGUCUUCAUCUCCUUGCUGGACUGCAAGGCCCUGGAGGGGAAGGACCAUGUUUUACAGCUGUGUAGAUGCCCAGCUCUGGCACACAGCAGAUCCAACGCAAGUGCCACACUGAACUAAGACCCAUCAACGCCAGGUACCUGUGGCUUGUUUCAGAAGCCAUCUUCAAAGAAUCAGGAGUAAUAUCCAUAAAGACAUUUUUAAGUUUUUCACCUCAUGCUCAAAAUCAACUUAACUGUAAUAAUCAACAUUCUAUUGGAAGAAACUGUAUGUCAAACUUACCGUCUUAGUUAAAUAAAACAUGAACGAGUA